rnacentral:rRNA from 1 species
GGGAUCGGCCUGCGGCCCAUUAUUUAAUCCUUGUUGGUGGGGUAACGGCCCACCAAGGGUACGAUGGGUAGCUGAUCUGAGAGGAUGGUCAGCCACACUGGGACUGAGACACGGCCCAGACUCCUACGGGAGGCAGCAGUGGGGAAUAUUGGACAAUGGGCGAAAGCCUGAUCCAGCUACGCCGCGUGGGUGAUGAAGGCCUUCGGGUUGUAAAGCCCUGUCGGGAGGGACGAAAGUCUUCGGACUUGACGGUACCUCGCAAGAAAGCACCGGCUAACUCCGUGCCAGCAGCCGCGGUAAUACGGAGGGUGCAAGCGUUGCUCGGAAUUACUGGGCGUAAAGCGCACGCAGGCGGCUUGGCAAGUCGGAUGUGAAAGCCCUGGGCUCAACCCAGGAACUGCAUUCGAAACUGCCAGGCUUGAGUUCGGGAGAGGGUGGUGGAAUUCCUGGUGUAGAGGUGAAAUUCGUUGAUAUCAGGAGGAACACCGGCGGCGAA